rnacentral:rRNA from 1 species
UGAAGUUUUUAAGGGCACAGGGUGGAUGCCUUGGCACUAGGAGCCGAAGAAGGACGUGGUAGCCUGCGAUAAGCCUCGGGGAGCUGGCAAACGAGCUGUGAUCCGAGGGUUUCCGAAUGGGGGAACCCCGCACGAGUCAUGUCGUGUGACCCGCACCUGAAUAUAUAGGGUGUGUGGAGGGAACGUCGGGAAGUGAAACAUCUCAGUACCGACAGGAAGAGAUAUUCCGUGAGUAGUGGCGAGCGAAAGCGGAUGAGGCCAAACCGGGCGCGUGUUCAAGCUGUCAGGCGUUGCGUGUUCGGGGUUGUGGGACCCUUCUGGUGGAUCUGACAGUCCACCGGGGAGUAAGAAAGCCGUGUCAUAGUCGAACCGCAUUGAAAGGCGGACCAUAGACGGUGCGAGUCCGGUAGACGAAAUGGUGCGGCCUCCCGAAGGGGAUCCCAAGUAGCACGGGGCCCGAGAAAUCUCGUGUGAAUCUGGCAAGACCACUUGCUAAGCCUAAAUACUACCUAGUGACCGAUAGCGGACCAGUACCGUGAGGGAAAGGUGAAAAGUACCCCGGGAGGGGAGUGAAAUAGUACCUGAAACCGUGUGCCUACAAUCCGUUGGAGCCUCCUUGGCUGGGGUGACAGCGUGCCUUUUGAAGAAUGAGCCUGCGAGUUAGUGCUCAGUGGCGAGGUUAACCCGUGUGGGGAAGCCGUAGCGAAAGCGAGUCCGAACAGGGCGCCCAUAGUCGCUGGGUCUAGACCCGAAGCGAAGUGAUCUAGCCAUGGGCAGGUUGAAGCGCGGGUAAGACCGCGUGGAGGACCGAACCCACCAGGGUUGAAAACCUGGGGGAUGACCUGUGGUUAGGGGUGAAAGGCCAAUCAAACUUCGUGAUAGCUGGUUCUCCCCGAAAUGCAUUUAGGUGCAGCGUCACGUGUUUCUUGCCGGAGGUAGAGCUACUGGAUGGCCGAUGGGCCCUACAAGGUUACUGACGUCAGCCAAACUCCGAAUGCCGGUAAGUGAAAGCGUGGCAGUGAGACUGCGGGGGAUAAGCUCCGUAGUCGAGAGGGAAACAGCCCAGACCACCGGCUAAGGCCCCUAAGCGUGUGCUAAGUGGGAAAGGAUGUGGAGUUGCACAGACAACCAGGAGGUUGGCUUAGAAGCAGCCACCCUUGAAAGAGUGCGUAAUAGCUCACUGGUCAAGUGAUUCCGCGCCGACAAUGUAGCGGGGCUCAAGUACACCGCCGAAGCCGUGGCAUCUGCGCUCAACUCAGGCCUUCGUGGUCCAGAGGCGCAGGUGGGUAGGGGAGCGUCGUGUGGGCGGUGAAGCCGCGGGGGAACCCAGCGGUGGAGCCCACACGAGUGAGAAUGCAGGCAUGAGUAGCGAAAGACGGGUGAGAAACCCGUCCGCCGAAUGACCAAGGGUUCCAGGGCCAGGUUAAUCCGCCCUGGGUAAGUCGGGACCUAAGGCGAGGCCGACAGGCGUAGUCGAUGGACAAGGAGUUGAUAUUCUCCUACCGGCGAAGAACCGCCCAUACCGAGCCCGGUGAUGCUGACCGCCCAAACCUGCCCAUCGACCCUUCGGGGUCACCGGGCAGGGGCGCGCGGGACCCAAUCCGGUAGUAGGUAAGCGUAUUAACAGGGGUGACGCAGGAAGGUAGCCCGGCGUGGCGAUGGUAGACCACGUCCAAGGCUGUAGGCCGUCGGGUAGGCAAAUCCGCCCGACAUGAAGGCUGAGAGCUGACGGUGAGCGCACAAGCGCGAACUGGGUGAUCCUAUGCUGCCAAGAAAAGCCUCGACGCGAGGUUCUAGCCGCCCGUACCCCAAACCGACUCAGGUGGUCAGGUAGAGAAUACUAAGGCGAUCGAGAGAAUCGUGGUUAAGGAACUCGGCAAAAUGCCCCCGUAACUUCGGGAGAAGGGGGGCCCGAAGCGUGAACACCCUCGCGGUGGGAGCGUGGACGGCCGCAGAGACCAGGGAGAAGCGACUGUUUACUAAAAACACAGGUCCGUGCGAAGUCGCAAGACGAUGUAUACGGACUGACGCCUGCCCGGUGCUGGAAGGUUAAGAGGACGGGUCAACCCUUCGGGGUGAAGCUCAGAAUUUAAGCCCCAGUAAACGGCGGUGGUAACUAUAACCAUCCUAAGGUAGCGAAAUUCCUUGUCGGGUAAGUUCCGACCUGCACGAAUGGCGUA